rnacentral:rRNA from 1 species
GACGAACGCUGGCGGCGUGCUUAACACAUGCAAGUCGAACGGAGUGGCGAACGGGUGAGUAACACGUGGGUGAUCUGCCUUGCACUUCGGGAUAAGCCUGGGAAACUGGGUCUAAUACCGGAUAGUGCAAGAUGAGCUCGCGGCCUAUUAGCGUGUUGGUGGGGGAAUGGCCUACCAAGGCGUCGACGGGUAGCCGGCCUGAGAGGGUGUACGGCCACAUUGGGACUGAGAUACGGCCCAGACUCCUACGGGAGGCAGCAGUGGGGAAGAUUGCACCAUGGGCGGAAGCCUGAUGCAGCGACGCCGCGUGGUGGAUGAAGGAAUUCGGUUCGUAAGCUACUUUCGACAGGGACGCGGUACCUGUAGAAGAAGCACCGGCUAACUACGUGCCAGCAGCCGCGGUAAUAC